AAUCAACGCUGGCGGCGUGCCUCAGACAUGCAAGUCGAACGCGAAAGCUCCCUUCGGGGAGCAAGUAGAGUGGCGCACGGGUGAGUAACACGUAGGUAAUCUACCUUUGGAUGGGGAAUAACAACCGGAAACGGUUGCUAAUACCGCAUAAUGCAGCGGCACCUAAUGGUGACAGUUGUUAAAGCGGGGGAUCGCAAGACCUCGCGUCUGAAGAGGAGCCUGCGGCGGAUUAGCUAGUUGGUAGGGUAACGGCUUACCAAGGCGAUGAUCCGUAGCCGGCCUGAGAGGGCGGUCGGCCACACUGACACUGACAUACGGGUCAGACUCCUACGGGAGGCAGCAGUCGGGAAUUUUGGGCAAUGGGCGAAAGCCUGACCCAGCAACGCCGCGUGAAGGAUGAAAUCCCUCGGGAUGUAAACUUCGCAAGAACGGGAAGAAUAAGCCGGUGUCAACACCACCGACGAUGACGGUACUGUUUGUAAGCUCCGGCUAACUCCGUGCCAGCAGCC
rnacentral:rRNA from 1 species